rnacentral:rRNA from 1 species
UACGUAGGGUGCAAGCGUUAAUCGGAAUUACUGGGCGUAAAGCGUGCGCAGGCGGUUUGUUAAGCCAGAUGUGAAAGCCCCGGGCUCAACCUGGGAACUGCGUUUGGUACUGGCAAGCUAGAGUACGGCAGAGGGGGGUGGAAUUCCACGUGUAGCAGUGAAAUGCGUAGAGAUGUGGAGGAAUACCGAUGGCGAAGGCAGCCCCCUGGGAUAAUACUGACGCUCAUGCACGAAAGCGUGGGGAGCAAACAGG